ensembl:lncRNA
CAGGGUGUGACGUGCGGAGAGGGAGCAUGACGCCAGCCCAAUAACGUCCUCACCGCGGCGCUGCGCCUGUCGCCAGCGGCCCCGCUAACCUGUGAGGCCCCGCCCCCGAGGGCCGACACAGCACCGCGGGACCGCACCCUGGUCCGACCCACGCUUUACACUCCCGGAGGGAGAAGCCAAUCGUGAACAGAGCGGGGGAACAAAAGCACGAAAGAAAGGAGGAGGAGGGGACGGCUGCAUGGCGGCCGCACACCCUGACAGCCCGCUGACAGGCACUCCCAGAGCACUGAGCACCAGGAAUACUGUGCCCGGCCUGGUGGGUGGGGGUGUGUGUGUGUGUGUGUGUGUGUGUGUGUGUGUGUGUGUGUGUGUGUGUGUGUGUGUGUGUGUGUGAGUGUGUGUGUGUGUGUGUGUGUGUGUGUGGAUCAAUGUGUUUAGGUUUCCUUAUGUUGCCAUGUGUGUGUACGUGUGUGUAUGUGUGUGUGUGCGUGCGCACAUGACAUUCUCUAAACUUGAACCCCCAACGGAGGUACAGUGUAUGAAUGUAUGCACAGCACACGCAUCAAUUUUUUAUUUGUGUCUCUCCAUAUUCAAUGCAGGUGUGCACGUUGCUGUCACCUAACUAACAGGGCCGACAGCGACUGGGCCAGCCGCCAUCCUCUGGCGGGCCUGGCGCGGGGCCAGGGGCCAGGGGCCAGGGGCCAGGGGCCAGCAUUAAUACUGUAAUACGCUGUUAGGAGGAGGUGGAGGAGAAUGGGCCUCGUCGGCUCCCCGCCCGGCUCCCGCCCGGCUCCCCGCCCGGCUCCUCAAGGACACCUUUGAACAUCACACAGCGUCCCGUACAGCGUCGUUGGGAAGUAAUUACGUGAGGAAGUAACCGUGAGCGGCCGUGCAGGAUUAGCAUAGAGCUAGCGCGUGGACGGACUGACGGAGGCUCACAGAUAGACAAUGGGAUGUGUAUGCAUGUUUGUUUGUGUGUAUGGAUGUCUGAGCUCUUGCCAUAGCUGAAUUCAUUUCUAAAGUGACGUUCUGAAUGAAAGGAUGAGACAAAUGGGAAAGAGACUUAGCGUUUGAUGGAAUGAUAUACCUCAUAGGAAACGCACAGACGCACACGCACAGUCCCUUUGACAUGGUAUUUGCUACUCAGUUGAUUAAGAAGCAACAAGGACAUGUGAGAACUAUUUAUGCACCGGCCUAUUCUACUCAUUAACAACGGCAGACGCCUCAAGUCAACGUCAGCCACGAGAGCAUACUUCAUACCGAUAACAGAUAAUAACGAUGGCGACAGACUGUUACUUAUUUGCUCUCGCUCAUGAGGACACGGGUAAAGUGAUGGCAGCCGUCCACAAGACGAAGUGCGAAAACAAUGUACACACCCCUCACGCCCACCUUCUCUGCGUCAUGCUCGGUGACUCCUAUUCUCUGCUCCCAAAGCGCCCGCCCUCCCAUACAUUUGAACUGUAUUUAUACUAAAUUUCGUUGGCUUCCAUGUUCAUUUAAAUCCAUCCCACACAACAAAUACUCAGGUUUCGGUCCUUGCAGGAAGACACAAGUUUGAUGAAUCAAAAAAAUCUGAGCGCAUAUUAAUCUUUAAUAACUGUAUAGAUUAUGUAUAUACUGCAUGUAUAUAUUAUAUCCACGCAUUUACCUACUUAUAUAAUAAAAUUGAUUACGAUUUAUAUCCAUGAUUUAUUAUUCAUUGUAUUUGAAGAACCAUGAGAUAGCUGGUUGUAGAGAUGGGUAGGCCUACUUUUAUAGAACACUGACUAAAUAU